GGAUUAGAUACCCUGGUAGUCCACGCCGUAAACGAUGUCAACUAGCUGUCUGUGUCCUCGCGACGUGGGUAGCGCAGCUAACGCACUAAGUUGACCGCCUGGGGAGUACGGCCGCAAGGUUAAAACUCAAAUGAAUUGACGGGGGCCCGCACAAGCGGUGGAGCAUGUGGUUUAAUUCGAUGCAACGCGAAGAACCUUACCAUCCCUUGACAUCCAGUGAAUUUUCUAGAGAUAGAUUAGUGCCUUCGGGAACACUGAGACAGGUGCUGCAUGGCUGUCGUCAGCUCGUGCCG
rnacentral:rRNA from 1 species